GACGAACGCUGGCGGCGUGCUUAACACAUGCAAGUCGAACGGAAAGGCCCUGCUUUUGUGGGGUUCUCGAGUGGCGAACGGGUGAGUAACACGUGAGUAACCUGCCCCUGACUGUGUGAUAACUUCACGAAACUGCGGCUAAUAUCGGAUAGGAUCUCCUGCUGCAUGGUGGGCGUUGGAAAGUUUCGGCGGUUGGGGAUGGACUCGCGGCUUAUCAGCUGGUUUGUGGGGUAGUGGCUGUCCAAGGCUUUGACGGGUAGCCGGCCUGAGAGGGUUACCGGGCACCUUGGGACUGAGAUACGGACCAGAAUCCUACGGGAGGCAGCAGUGGGGAAUAUUGCACAAUGGGCGGAAGCCUGAGGCAGCAGCGCCGCGUGCGGGAUGACGGCCUUCGGGUUGUAAACCGCUUUCGCCUGUGACGAAGCGUGAGUGACGGUAAUGGGUAAAGAAGCACCGGCUAACUACGUG
rnacentral:rRNA from 1 species